rnacentral:rRNA from 1 species
GACGAACGCUGGCUGCGUGCUUAACACAUGCAAGUCGAACGGAAAGGCCCUGCUUUUGUGGGGUGCUCGAGUGGCGAACGGGUGAGUAACACGUGAGUAACCUGCCCUUGACUUUGGGAUAACUUCAGGAAACUGGGGCUAAUACCGGAUAGGAGCUCCUGCUGCAUGGUGGGGGUUGGAAAGUUUCGGCGGUUGGGGAUGGACUCGCGGCUUAUCAGCUUGUUGGUGGGGUAGUGGCUUACCAAGGCUUUGACGGGUAGCCGGCCUGAGAGGGUGACCGGCCACAUUGGGACUGAGAUACGGCCCAGACUCCUACGGGAGGCAGCAGUGGGGAAUAUUGCACAAUGGGCGGAAGCCUGAUGCAGCAACGCCGCGUGCGGGAUGACGGCCUUCGGGUUGUAAACCGCUUUCGCCUGUGACGAGGCGUGAGUGACGGUAAUGGGUAAAGAAGCACCGGCUAACUACGUGCCAGCAGCCGCGGUGAUACGUAGGGUGCGAGCGUUGUCCGGAUUUAUUGGGCGUAAAGGGCUCGUAGGUGGUUGAUCGCGUCGGAAGUGUAAUCUUGGGGCUUAACCCUGAGCGUGCUUUCGAUACGGGUUGACUUGAGGAAGGUAGGGGAGAAUGGAAUUCCUGGUGGAGCGGUGGAAUGCGCAGAUAUCAGGAGGAACACCAGUGGCGAAGGCGGUUCUCUGGGCCUUUCCUGACGCUGAGGAGCGUAAGCGUGGGGAGCGAACAGGCUUAGAUACCCUGGUAGUCCACGCUGUAAACGGUGGGUACUAGGUGUGGGGUCCAUUCCACGGGUUCCGUGCCGUAGCUAACGCUUUAAGUACCCCGCCUGGGGAGUACGGCCGCAAGGCUAAAACUCAAAGGAAUUGACGGGGCCCCGCACAAGCGGCGGAGCAUGCGGAUUAAUUCGAUGCAACGCGUAGAACCUUACCUGGGUUUGACAUGGAUCGGGAGUGCUCAGAGAUGGGUGUGCCUCUUUUGGGGUCGGUUCACAGGUGGUGCAUGGCUGUCGUCAGCUCGUGUCGUGAGAUGUUGGGUUAAGUCCCGCAACGAGCGCAACCCUUGUUCACUGUUGCCAGCACGUUAUGGUGGGGACUCAGUGGAGACCGCCGGGGUCAACUCGGAGGAAGGUGGGGAUGACGUCAAGUCAUCAUGCCCCUUAUGUCCAGGGCUUCACGCAUGCUACAAUGGCUGGUACAGAGAGUGGCGAGCCUGUGAGGGUGAGCGAAUCUCGGAAAGCCGGUCUCAGUUCGGAUUGGGGUCUGCAACUCGACCUCAUGAAGUCGGAGUCGCUAGUAAUCGCAGAUCAGCAACGCUGCGGUGAAUACGUUCCCGGGGCU